CAGCAGCCGCGGUAACACGUAGGUGGCAAGCGUUGUCCGGAAUUAUUGGGCGUAAAGGGCUCGCAGGCGGUUUCUUAAGUCUGAUGUGAAAGCCCCCGGCUCAACCGGGGAGGGUCAUUGGAAACUGGGAAACUUGAGUGCAGAAGAGGAGAGUGGAAUUCCACGUGUAGCGGUGAAAUGCGUAGAGAUGUGGAGGAACACCAGUGGCGAAGGCGACUCUCUGGUCUGUAACUGACGCUGAGGAGCGAAAGCGUGGGGAGCGAACAGGAUUAGAUACCCCCGUAGUCCCUGUCUCUUAUAA
rnacentral:rRNA from 1 species